AGUCCUACGGGGGGCAGCAGUGGGGGAUAUUGCACAAUGGGGGAAACCCUGAUGCAGCGACGCCGCGUGUGGGAAGACGGUCCUCUGGAUUGUAAACCACUGUCCCCAGGGACGAAGAUGACGGUACCUGGGGAGGAAGCUCCGGCUAACUACGUGCCAGCAGCCGCGGUAAUACGUAUGGGGCAAGCGUUAUCCGGAUUUACUGGGUGUAAAGGGAGCGUAGGCGGCAGGGCAAGCCUGAUGUGAAAGCCCGGGGCUCAACCCCGGGACUGCAUUGGGAACUGCCCCGCUCGAGUGCCGGAGGG
rnacentral:rRNA from 1 species